UACGUAGGAUACAAGCGUUAUCCGGAGUUACUGGGCGUAAAGGGCGCGUAGGCGGUUUCGUAAGUCUGGCGUGAAAUUUCUCGGCUUAACCGGGAAAGGUCGUCGGAUACUGCGGAGCUAGAGGACGGUAGAGGCGUGUGGAAUUCCGGGUGUAGUGGUGAAAUGCGUAGAGAUCCGGAGGAACACCAGUGGCGAAGGCGACACGCUGGGCAGUACCUGACACUGAUGCGCGACAGCAUGGGGAGCAAACAGG
rnacentral:rRNA from 1 species